UCCCCGGCUGGCCAAUGGCGAACCUCUACCCGGCUCACAUGACAUGCCUUUCUGUGCGCUCCCUCUCCUCUCAACGCUCAAUCCCGGCGAGUGCGGGCAUCACUGAAGACCUGACACCGGCGGAAUCGGACGUCCACUGUCUUCGUCAGAAUUAACCAGGCGUUAUCUUAAGCAAACUUUAUCACCAUCUGAUGAAAGCUGACCAUCCUGUCCAUGAGAAUGACCCUGCAUCGGCGGAGGAAGAGACUUUUUUCCCCCGUCUCCAAACCACCGGAGAGGCGCAGGGGCGAGACAAUAACGCCCAGAAGUUAUUGAAAUGAAUCGUCAUGAAAAGCUGGCAGAAGAAAACAGGAACAGAACGAGCGCUAGCAGCGUUCGCCUUCGCCGCAGAGGGAAGGAAAGGAAGCAGAUCACAACAAGGAAAAGACAAGAGUGAUGAAAGAGAGGUCCAGACAUGAAGGAGGCAUGCACUCACGUGCACACACACACAGAUGCAACGGCACCUAGAGUCUGUCUGCGGUCUACCACCAUCCUGCCACACACACACACACACACACACACACACAUACACAUACACAUGCCUGUUACGGUAAGAAUCAGAGACCACCGAGUUAGGGGGAUAAUAAUGGUGUGAAUGUGAGAAAACAAACUCAUUAUCCUCUGCUGUUUUUUGUCUCUGAGUAAUUUUAAGACAAAUUGACUACUGGUAUUCAAAACUGCUCUAAAUUCAGUAAUUAAGAAAAGAAAAAAGUAAUUUAACAUCACAGGGUGCACAAAGUACUUUCUUGGUGCUAAAAAUAGACUAAGAAAAUAAUGUCUUUAUUAAAUUUGGAUUUCUCUUUUUGGAACAAAUCCUAAUUUCUGCAUUUUCUAUAAUAUAAUUGAAUGUUUCUGUUGUCAUGCAUGUCAUUCAUAGUGUGUGAGACAGAGAGUGUGUGUAUGCAUGCAUAAAGCCCCCCCCUUUUUUUUUUCCUAUUUCCAUCAGUCAAAACCAAUCUCCACAAGUCAAGUUUAACGGCAGCACCACAUAUCCCACAAUACCCCACUCUGUGCCUCUCCCAGGCUUCCCAGCAUCCUGCUUCGCCCUCUGUCCCAAAAAAAAAAAAAAAAAAAAGCGUGCUGAAAUUACAGUGUGUGAGGCGGCAUUGUGGGAAACCUUCCCCCCUCCUCUUGCCCGCCAUGUUUGCCUUUCUUGUUCCUCCUUAUCGUUUUCUCAUUCUGCUACUGUUUUGGAUGGGCUCGAGUGUGCGGGGUUUAAUCUGACGUUCAUUUAACUGUCAAACAGUUGUCCGUGUUAGUUUGGAUCUACAGACUGAGGUUAACAAGGUAUUAAUGCAGUUCUAAUUAUUUUUUUUAUUAUUAUUUGUUGAUCAAAUUACAUUUCAGUUGUCCUUUCAGCAUGAGGGUUUUGUUUUAUGAACCGUUUGAACACAAGUAAAAACUAAAUCUAAUUAUUUGCAUUGAUCUGCCUAGUCAGCUAUAUAUUUAUGGCUUUGGCUACUGUUACGUAAUGAUAUAACUGAGUAGGGUUUCAUUUUUAUGCACACUUCAGGUUCAAACCCCUGAAAUCUGGCAGCUCCUUUCCAGGUAAAUUGGUCACAAAGUGACAUUGACUUUGUUGGUCAUCAUGAGCAAAUACUACAGCAUGGCAGCUCAGAAAAAAAAAAAAAAAAAAACAAGCGAGCAGCAUAAAUAAAUACAUAAAUGAAAGAGGAAAAAUCACGGAUUGCUGCUGGUAUCAAAGCUACUUAAAUCAAAAAGCAAAACCCGUCCUCUUGGUUUCUGGCUUCAGGUUAACUGACGGCACCUCCCUCACAGCAACCACACUACUAACCAGCUGUAAUGACACACUCCAUCAGUUCGGCUUUGCCUGUGCGGGGAUAGCUUGGUUAACAGUCGGCCUGAGAUGUGGCAUGAGAGAGAGAGUGUGUGUGUGUCUGUGUGUGUGUGUGUGUGUGUGCGUGCGCUGGCUAUUAAAGCACUUGAGAAUCAGAGAGGAAAAGAGUCACACUGCUAAUGGAUGUGUCUAUUGAUGUUCCCAUUUAGCAGCACACUGUAAACGAUAGGGCAAUGAUUGUGUUGAAGACGGAAGGAGGUGGAGGAGGAGUGUAGAGCGGUUUGGCUGGGCGAUGAUAAUGACAAGGAAGGUUAUUAUUUGGCACCCUGCGGGGUCUCUCUCUCCGCUUUGUGUGUGUGUGUGUGUGUGUGUGUGUGUGUGUGUGUGUGUGAGUAAAAGAGGGAGAGAGGCACGCUUCCUGCAUCUCUCUCUCGCUCCUGUCGCUGUCCUUGCCUAUUGGCUAUUAUUCUCUUUUUCGCUUUUUCUCCCCCCCCCAGUCCACUCCUCUCUCACGACAUUACUCACUGCUGCUAGUCUACAUCCAAUUCUGGCCUUCUCACAUCCACUUCUAUUUCUCUUUUCUCAAUGGCCCUACCUUUUUUUUUUUGUAAUGUACAGUGCUGCAGAUAUCUUUUGUGAUGGUAGAUAAAAUAGCGGGGGAAAAAAAGAGGUCAAAGAUAGAAUAAUGCUGAAAAAAUAGUUUCUUGUUAUAAAUUUUUUAGGAUAGCAGGUUGCCCUUGAAAUAUUGAUUUACUCACCAUCAGAUUUUUUUUCUUUUUUCUCUCCCAGCUGUGUGUGCGUGUGUGAGCCCUGUCAGUUUCAAUCAGUGUGUGUGUGAUGAAUAUGAAUACAGUCAGCCUGCCUCCAGGUUUGGCAGUAGACCACCUCCAGCUGGACUCAGACCCCUACUCAAGUGUGCCUGUGUGUGUUUUGUGAGCGUGGUUGUACACGUCAGCCUGCAUCUGUCAGCGCCUUGACAACCUGAGGAUGAAAAAUAUACAACAUAAUAUGCCACUUGGCACACGAUGCAUCCAAAGCCCUUCAACACAGAGGAAGGCAUCCAGUUUCACCAUCAGUGGGAAUUGAACCCCUUGUUUUACUGAAUUGAGACGUACAAAAAAAAAAACCUCCAUAGGGUGAAAUGCAAUGAAAUUAGAUAGAAGUGCAUGUUUGAAACAGGUUUUGCUAGUUUUGGUAAAUGCUUGCAAAUGUUAGGAGGUAGGAUGUCUAUGUUUUAGUGCACGCACAAUCCUGCCUUCCUCACUUCCUUUCCCCCAAUUACUGUAAUCAGCCCCAUUCUUUCCAGUCCUGCUUGUCAGUCCUUAUGUGUGUGUGUGUGUGUGUUUGCUGUUGACUGCAUAUUGUUUGCUAGAAGAUUAAUAGUGUUUAAAUCUGUAAAUAUCUUGUCAGUGUAGUAGAAGUCCAUCUAUCAUUCUGUGUGUGUGUGUGUUUGUGUGUGUUUGUAAUCGCAGGGCAGCAGAUAAAGAGGGAGACGCCAUUCCAGCUGUGAGGGAAGAAGUCAACAUACACACACACACACACACACACACAUAUACACACACAGCCGGAGGCGUGUGAGCAGGUGAGCAUUAAGUCAGGCAGCUAAACAGAUCACGUCGCGGUAUGAUAUCUGCAGACAGGCAGACAGAGAAGGCCGGUCUGUACCUGCAGGCGGAGAGCAACAACUCACAGCACCCCUCGCCAGGAAUUUCCUCCCCCUCCUGAGUGAGAGACGGAGAGAGGGAGGGGUGUGUGUGACAGAGACGGUGAAAGAGAAACGGACAUAAACUCACUGAAGUGUUUCCAUGCAAACAGAAUAGUAAAUCAUGAUUACGAAGUGGACGGCAAUUUUUUUUUUUUUUUUCCAGAUUUGAUCAAAAGUCCUUCAAUGUCACGAAAUAGUUUAACUUUGACAUUAAGCUGACAUGAUGCUUUGGUGGUAGAGACACAUUUACAAACAAAAUAAAGAACAGCCUGUUUUUUAGCCCAGCAUCUUAAGAAAAGACUUCAAAUGAGACUUUGGACAUUCAAAUUUUUUUUGUCAGAUUUUGUGCGUCGUAACUACCACAACACUCCCAUAUGAAGAGCGUUAAGAACUGAGUACAUUUGUGUUUUUAAAGAACUUGGAUGCAAACAUCAUCACUCAGUUCAUCAACAUUUUAAUAUUUAUCUCUUUUAGCGAGUUAAAUAAUUGUAGCUUUUACAUCUCUGUACUUCCUCUCGUCUUUUGUAUCAUAUUCAACCCGUAUUUUUUCACUUCAACCAUGUUUUUUUUUUUCACCCCCCAUGACUCAGAUGAUAUUCACAGGGACGCAAUAAUGUAAGAGAACACUAAGAGGGUAGUGAGAAAAAAUAUCUCCUGUGUAGACAAAAAGUCACACAAAAACUGUCCCAAUGUGCCCCCUACUUAUGUUAGCCACAUUUUCAACAUUCUCCCUUAACCCCAUUUGAUGAAAGGAUAUCCUUUGACAUAAAAACAAAAAAGAACGACGCAUUCACACGCUACUGUAAUAUCAAGUACAGAUGCUUCUUUUGUUAUUUGGGAGUCAUUCGAUCACCUCCUGUAUGAUUUGUCUUUCUGGAAUUACUUGGGUGUUUUGACAGGGUCCACAGUACUAAUUGUGAAACUUUGACAGUAUCCGUUACGCAAACUUGUUCUGCUAGUUUGCUUUUGUGAACGCUCCCUAAGAACGGCUUUGACAUUUUUAUUUUUUUUCACAGGUUUUUAUAGCUUCCUUUCAUUCACAAUGUGCUCGGCAUAUGUGUCCUUUAUCUGUGGCGUCCUGUAUCACGUUCAUAGUUGUAAUUCCCCUUUGGGAGAUGCCCAUUACAGUUGUGGUUGAGCAGCUUCACUGAACCAACUGUGGGUUAUGUUGUUGCCUAAGAGAGCCACAGUAGUAGUUACUAAAUAGGGGAGAGUUAUCAGUUCACAUCUCCUGCGUAGAUUUUCCCAACUGAAGUUGUUUCAUGGAGAUUGUUGCUAUUCCUUAUCUCAGUUUUUUUUUUUGUCCUGGUGUUUUUAAAAGCUCUUUAUAUUUAGCCAACAGAACCUGUCCUGAAAUUUUUAUGCGUCACAACUCUCUCCACACAGACUACUGCAUCCACUUAUCUAAAAAUGAUUCAGUGGUAAAAUGUCAGAGCUGUCUGUGCCAUUAAGGCCAGCAUGUUUGAAGGAAGGACACCCUUGCCUGCCCUCUCCUUCCUCCCCCCCUCUGUCUCUUUUCAUUCCUCCUUUCUCGCUCCCCUUUAGCUCUCUCACCACAUCCUCCCCCCCCCUACCCAGCCCAGGCUGGUUUGAGGGCUGAUGCGCAGACCUUGUCAUUCAGAUUAGGGCCACAUUGUCAGCUCAGGGCCCUUCCUCUCUAGUCGCAUGUCCCCAAUCUUUCUUCUUACUGUCACCCUCAUCCUGCGGCCAGAGAAGACCUUAUAAAGCAACAUUCCUUCUCAUCCACUUCUGUCAAUUCCAACACUGUCACUCAAAUCACUGUUCGGGAGAGUGGAGAGAGGCCGAGUUAGCAGCAGUGUCCCUCGCAGCAAGGACUGUGCUUUUUGGUCUGAGCCGGGUUGACGUGUCACGAGCUAGCAAACUGUUUUUUUUGAUUGAGGUAUUUUGAGUUCUAAUUCUUUUUUUUUGUCUUUGCUAACAACUGACGAGCUUUUCAGAGGAAUAUAUUACCCGAGAUAAGCAGGAAAGGACAAAGUAGAAGCGGCGAUUGUGAUCCGAAGCAGAAAAGAGAAGCAAUCUUUUAAUAAAAUUGGUCAUUGUGUUUUGCUUAAUAGUAAAGACUACCAGUCAUGAUGUUGUUUUUGAGCCUACUCUUUCUGUGAAAUGAGUAUUUGGCAGGACAUGAGAUAUCCACCACAUCAUCUUAGUCACUCUUUAUCCUGCUGUGUAAAAGAGUCCCAGCACCAUAUUUAUCAUCCAACCACAUCUUGACUCACCGCCACAGUUUUAUUGUCACGUCGUAUCUAAUUGCUACAGCAGCUUUGUGGCAUUUAAUUUCUGUUGUUUCCACGACCCUGUUUUUUUUUUUCUCAUGAUGAGCAACAAUGAUUCAGCAGUAUGUAACGCAAGAUGUCGGGCAGUUCCUUUACUGGUAUUAGCACAAGGAGGUUAAAAAAAAAAAACAGUCUUCAGCCACAUCAUAGCGAAAACAACAGACGCUAUUGAUCUGGGUGAGUCGACAGUUUCAUACCCGGUGUCUUCCUCAUCCUCCACCUUGCAUGAAGCCCUCGAGGCAUACUGGUUUUCUCUCCAGAGGCCAUGCUGCUGUGCUUCAAUACAGCGUAUGACGACAAGCUGCAGCCUUCAGCCAGGUGCCGUGUUUACUAAAACCCGCUAUGAGUCAAGAGUUUCAAGAUGACUUCCCGUUUCUAACAGCUACUUGCAGUUGAAUAAAAUGUGCUCCCAUACCCUGACACUGUCUUUGGUGUCGUAAUGACCAUGCGUCAUGCAGCAUUCAAUGUCAUUGCCAGGACUGAAGAAGAGGUGGGGCAAAGCCAGUUCUGCUUCUUUUCUUACAAGGGCCGUGUAGAGGAGAGCACAUGGGCAUUUCUUUUAAUAAUAAAUCUAAUAAUAUAUUGCAUUUCAUUUAUAUCUGUGCAUGUUUGUUCCUUCAUAUUAAUCAUUUUUCCUGUCUCUUAUCCUUAGGUACAGUAUGUGAAUGAUCAGAAGAAUUUUGAAAGUUGUAAAUAGGUAUAGUCAUUUGUAGUUAUUUGAUAUUCCUGGAUGUAAAGAUCGCACCAUCAGAGUAUGUUAAAACAUUGCUUUUUUUAAAAAUGUGUCCCCGCUUAGAGAAUAGAAGAGAGAUUUAGUGAGAGAGGGUGAGAGUUAGAAGCCUCUACGCCCACAGAGAAGACUUGUUCCCUCUGCAUCUCUAAGCAGACUGUCAUCCCUGGUCACCAUCAGGUCUGUGCUCGCCCCAGUGAACAUUCAACGCUGUCGGUGAGUUUCAGCUAAAUUGAAAAAACCAUCGACCGUUGAUUGUACCCUGGGGCCAGCCUUUGUCACUCUGUUUCAAAAAAAAGGAAAGGUAAAACUGAGACACACAGGCAGGGCCAAUGACUUCUUGAAGAAUCACAUGAAGAGCACUGCGUCUAUCCUGCACAAACAAAAGGAAAAAUACUUCCAGCUUCCAAACCACAACAAAGGUCACAAUCAACAUUCAUUGCUGUCGGUGGGUUUAACUGUGUGGAAGAGCUCACUGAACGAUGAAUGCAACUGUGUCCCAGAUUUCAUCCGAACGUCAAAAGGAAUAGCGUCGCGAUAUGCUGAUGAUGGCAUUAUUUAUUUCUACCCCCUUCGCCUCCCACCAACGACGGGCACACACAGGCGGCGUGAAUUGACAGGCAGUUCAGAUUACAUCUCGAUCACGCUUGCUGGUGCGGAGGGGGUUCGAGUCCGGCUUCAGCAGCCGAAGAAAAUAAGAUGCAAGAGAUAGUUGGAAGCAAAUGACCUUUAAAGAAAAGUACGCAGCGAAUAUAUGGCUUGUAUUGCAUCUAGGGUUUGAUAAAUGAUUCAGUUGUAAAAUAAUGACUGAAAAAUAAACAGAAUAUGCUGAAUAUGAACAGAUGCAUUCCAACAUGGUAAGUGGACUUUUUGGAUAAAGAAAAAGAAGAAAAGGAUGUAUUUAUUAAAAGUAUAUAUUUAAUCAAUAUGGCAGAUGAGCUGCUAAAGCACUGAAAUCUAAAUAUGUUAAAAUCCCAUCAUUUUUUUAAAGUAUUAAAGUCAGUUUGGUAGAACAGGCACAUUAACAGCUUUUAAAUGGUAGAUGUGUCAUUUUGAAACAAAGCUGUUGAUAUGAUGGGAAAUAAAACAUGUACUUGCUUUUUUCGUAUCCAAGAUCUAUAAAGCUGUGGAACUUUAACUGUGGAUUUAUUGUAAAACUAUUUCAUGUUGUUUUCAUUAAAUAAAUUCUCACCAUUUGAACCCUCA